AUUGAACGCUGGCGGCAGGCCUAACACAUGCAAGUCGAGCGGAUGAAGCGAGCUUGCUCCUGGAUUCAGCGGCGGACGGGCGAGUAAUGCCUAGGAAUCUGCCCGGUAGUGCUGGAUAACGUCCGGGAACGGGCGCUAAUACCGCAUACGUCCUGAUGUACAAAGUGGGGGAUCUUCGGACCUCACGCUAUCAGAUGAUCCUAGGUCGGAUUAGCUAGUUGGUGGGGUAAAGGCCUACCAAGGCGCCGAUCCGUAACUGGUCUGAGAGGAUGAUCAGUCACACUGGAACUGAGUCACGGUCCAGACUCCUACGGGAGGCAGCAGUCGGCAAUAUUGGCCACUGGGCGAGAGUCUGAUCCAGCCAUGCCGCGUGUGUGAAGAAGGACUUCGGAUUGGAAAGAAGUUUAACUUGGGAGGAAGCGCAGUAAGUUAAGACGUUGCUAUAUUGACGUUACCAACAGAAAAAGCACCGGCUAACUUCGUG
rnacentral:rRNA from 1 species